rnacentral:lncRNA from 1 species
ACGAAGCGAGUUGACCUGAGUGUUGGAUAUGUUGAUGUUCUUGGAAUCGUUUAUUGCCCUCUUUUUUUCUUGUUCUUUCUGGUUAAUUUAGUUGUUGCCAAGUGUUUCAGCAAAACACAUACACUUUUAAUCUGAGAAGCGGGAAGCAACAGAUGCUAUGAUACAGAUGUUAUCUUCUAUUACUUUCGAUUACUUGUUUAAUUAAAGCUAUUGUUGCC